AGAGUUUGAUCAUGGCUCAGAAUCAACGCUGGCGGCGUGCCUCAGACAUGCAAGUCGAACGCGAAAGGCCCCUUCGGGGGCCGAGUAGAGUGGCGCACGGGUGAGUAACACGUAGGUAAUCUACCUCUGGGUGGGGAAUAACAGCCGGAAACGGCUGCUAAUACCGCAUAACGCAGCGGCACCACAUGGUGACAGUUGUUAAAGCGGGGGAACUUCGGUCCUCGCGCCUGGAGAGGAGCCUGCGGCGGAUUAGCUAGUUGGCAGGGUAACGGCCUACCAAGGCGACGAUCCGUAGCCGGCCUGAGAGGGCGGUCGGCCACACUGGCACUGACAUACGGGCCAGACUCCUACGGGAGGCAGCAGUCGGGAAUUUUGGGCAAUGGGCGAAAGCCUGACCCAGCAACGCCGCGUGGAGGAUGAAGUUUCUCGGAAUGUAAACUCCGUAAGAAUGGGAAGAAUAAGGGGGGGCUAACACCCUCUCCGAUGACGGUACCAUUCGUAAGCUCCGGCUAACUCCGUGCCAGCAGCCGCGGUAAUACGGGGGGAGCAAGCGUUGUUCGGAUUUACUGGGCGUAAAGAGUUGCGUAGGUGGCAUAGUAAGCAGGUAGUGAAAUAGUGUGGCUCAACCAUACUCACAUUAUCUGAACUGCUAAGCUGGAGUAUAUGAGAGGUAGUUGGAAUUCCUUGUGUAGGAGUGGAAUCCGUAGAUAUAAGGAGGAACACCGAUGGCGUAGGCAGACUACUGGCAUAUUACUGACACUAAGGCACGAAAGCGUGGGGAGCGAACGGGAUUAGAUACCCCCGUAGUCC
rnacentral:rRNA from 1 species